UACGUAGGGUGCAAGCGUUGUCCGGAAUUAUUGGGCGUAAAGAGCUCGUAGGCGGCCAGUUGCGUCUGCUGUGAAAUCCCGGGGCUCAACCCCGGGCGUGCAGUGGAUACGGGCUGGCUAGAGGCAGGCAGGGGAGAACGGAAUUCCCGGUGUAGCGGUGAAAUGCGCAGAUAUCGGGAGGAACACCGGUGGCGAAGGCGGGUCUCUGGGCCGAUAUUGACGCUGAGGAGCGAAAGCGUGGGGAGCGAACAGG
rnacentral:rRNA from 1 species